CUUCUAAGUGCAUUUUCAUCUUUGAAAGUUGAACAAUUUUCUCAAAAUCCAAAACAUGAAAACUCUCUUUUGUUUCUCCAUUCUUUUCCUUGUUGUCUCCAUGAACUUUGGAAAUCAGAUGAUGAUGACAGAGGCAGAAGCUUGCCUUCGCUACAGGCCUCGUUUUUGCCGUAAAUGGGAGGUUUUAAUUUGCAAACUAUUUUGCAAGAUCGAAUGCAGUAAUAUACAUGCAACUGGAAAAUGUCAUGACGACUACUCGUGUCACUGUAAUUGUUGUGCUUAAAUUGUAAGCAUUAUUAUUAAAAAAUUUAUAAUAAUAACAUUUCAAAUGUGUUUUCUACAUUUUCCUCAA